rnacentral:rRNA from 1 species
AGUUGCCUACGGGACGCAGCAGUGAGGAAUAUUGGUCAAUGGGCGCGAGCCUGAACCAGCCAAGUCGCGUGAGGGAAGACGGUCCUAUGGAUUGUAAACCUCUUUUGUCGGGGAGCAAAAGACGCCACGCGUGGCGUUCCGAGAGUACCCGAAGAAAAAGCAUCGGCUAACUCCGUGCCAGCAGCCGCGGUAAUACGUAGGUGGCAAGCGUUGUCCGGAAUUACUGGGUGUAAAGGGAGCGCAGGCGGGAAGCCAAGUCAGC